GUUUUCUUUGUGUUUUCUGCGUGUUUCAGAGCGGAGGGAUUUAAAUGUGGCAGCGACAGCACCAAAGCUGUGAUCAGUCCAGAUGGUUGCUUCCUGGCAGCCGGAUCAGCUGAUGGUGCCGUUUACAUUUGGAACGUCUCCACUGGCAACCUGGAGACCCGCCUACCUGACAAACACAGCUCGUCCAUCAGCGCCGUGUCCUGGUCUCUGUCCGGUGAAUACGUCGUCAGCGUGGACAAGAGCCGGCGGGCCGUCCUCUGGAGUGACAUCUGAAACGGCCCGUCUGCGGAGAGGUCACGUUGUCAUAGCAACCCCCCACACAGCACGCUUCACCUCAGAGACUGCACUGAUCUGAGCGUGUCCGAGGGAACAUUUGGGCUCCGGAUUUUGUUUUUCAGCUGUUUUUUGGUUUGGGGGUUUUUUGGGGACAAAAGGGAAACUUCCUGCUCGGGGCCUUUUUUUAAAUCUUCUAACUCGACUGGGAGCAUUAACACACAUUAACGGGAGGAAGCGUUUGACCUCAACAUGAAGCUUUUACAGCCGUACAAAGGGAAACAGCCAACGACCUCAUGGCGCAAUGCAUUCUGGGUAGUAGCAUCCACACUUAAGCUUCUUC